rnacentral:tRNA from 1 species
UCCCGGGUCGUCCAGUCGGAAGGACACGUGAUUCUGGAUCACGAGAGCGAGGUUCGAAUCCUUGCCUGGGAG